CGCCGUAUGCAGGGGACAACAGUCAGAAAUGACUGCUAAUACCGCAUAAGCACACAAUGCUGCAUGGCAUGGUGUGAAAAGAUUUAUCGGCAUACGAUGGCCCCGCGUCUGAUUAGCCAGUUGGCAGGGUAAUGGCCUACCAAAGCAACGAUCAGUAGCCGGCUUGAGAGAGUGACCGGCCACAUUGGGACUGAGACACGGCCCAGACUCCUACGGGAGGCAGCAG
rnacentral:rRNA from 1 species